UUUGUUGCAAGAAAACGCGCUCAAUGGACACCGACUAAGUAUUCGGCUGUUUAUUAUUGUGAUGGCAAGGAAACUUGGGCAAAGUUCAAAUCUUUCCUGAGUCACAUAGUAGACAAGCACACCAAUUUGGAUAAUCCACUGUUUUCAAGUUGUUUUAAUGGCCCUGAUAUUAAACCAAGGGAAUAUUUGUUAGAAGGUUCAGUUGCUCAUGAAAAGCUUAGUGCUAAAUUGUUAAACCCACAGCUGAUGAAGUCAAUUCACCAGGCUUCACCAGUUGCUCAAACAAGUUGUUUGGAAAUAUUCCUUUCUGUCCUGAAUCAUUUUGCUCCAAAAAUGAUUCAUUAUUCCUAUGUUGGAAUGUAUUGCAGAGUAUGUGGAUGAAUUAUUUGAGAGUGUGAUGCUGUCAAUAAAAGACAAAAACGCAUUAUCAAAUUCACAAAAUCUUUUGAAAGAAAUGUCCCCACCACCAAUGAAUGUCAUGCUGCAAAAGCAACCCAGAGCUGAGGUGUUACUAAAACAGGUCCGUUGAAAAUGCUUUGUGGUCAAUGAUGUCCCUCCCUCAAUUCCAGCAGCUACCAGUGUGCCAUUCAGCUGUCAGUCAAAAGUGGCAGUUUCAAAAGAAAAGAGUCAGCCAAAAUGUUUGACAUGCAA